rnacentral:misc_RNA from 1 species
UCUCCGUAGGUGAACCUGCGGAGGGAUCAUUACAGAAUUCGUGCCCUCGCGGGUAGAUCUCCCACCCUGUGUUAUUGCUACCUUUGUUGCUUUGGCGGGCCGCCCUCGGCUACCGGCCCCGGCUGGUACGCGCCCGCCAGAGGACCCCAAACCCUGAACGUCAGUGUCGUCUGAGUACUAUACAAUAGUUAAAACUUUCAACAACGGAUCUCUUGGUUCUG